rnacentral:rRNA from 1 species
UACGGAGGAUGCGAGCGUUAUCCGGAUUUACUGGGUGUAAAGGGAGCGUAGACGGCAUGGCAAGUCUGAUGUGAAAACCCGGGGCUCAACCCCGGGACUGCAUUGGAAACUGUCAGGCUAGAGUGUCGGAGAGGCAAGUGGAAUUCCUAGUGUAGCGGUGAAAUGCGUAGAUAUCACGCAGAACCCCGAUUGCGAAGGCAGCAUACCGGUGCACAACUGACGCUCAGGCACGAAAGCGUGGGUAUCGAACAGG